rnacentral:rRNA from 1 species
AGAGUUUGAUCCUGGCUCAGGACGAACGCUGGCGGCGUGCUUAACACAUGCAAGUCGAGCGACGCACUUCGGGUGACGGAGCGGCGAACGGGUGAGUAACACGUGGGCAACCUGCCCUCAGCUCUGGGACAACUCCGGGAAACCGGGGCUAAUACCGGAUACGACCUCGGGGGGCAUCUCCUGGGGUGGAAAGUUUUUCGGCUGAGGAUGGGCCCGCGGCCUAUCAGCUUGUUGGUGGGGUGACGGCCUACCAAGGCGACGACGGGUAGCCGGCCUGAGAGGGCGACCGGCCACACUGGGACUGAGACACGGCCCAGACUCCUACGGGAGGCAGCAGUGGGGAAUAUUGCGCAAUGGGCGGAAGCCUGACGCAGCGACGCCGCGUGGGGGAUGAAGGCCUUCGGGUUGUAAACCUCUUUCAGCAGGGACGAACUCAGACGGUACCUGCAGAAGAAGCACCGGCCAACUACGUGCCAGCAGCCGCGGUAAUACGUAGGGUGCAAGCGUUGUCCGGAAUUAUUGGGCGUAAAGAGCUCGUAGGCGGUCUGUCGCGUCGGCUGUGAAAACUCGGGGCUCAACCCCGAGCCUGCAGUCGAUACGGGCAGACUAGAGUGCGGUAGGGGAGACUGGAAUUCCUGGUGUAGCGGUGAAAUGCGCAGAUAUCAGGAGGAACACCGGUGGCGAAGGCGGGUCUCUGGGCCGUAACUGACGCUGAGGAGCGAAAGCGUGGGGAGCGAACAGGAUUAGAUACCCUGGUAGUCCACGCCGUAAGCGGUGGGUGCUAGGUGUAGGCGGUAUUCCACGCCGUCUGUGCCGCAGCUAACGCAUUAAGCACCCCGCCUGGGGAGUACGGCCGCAAGGCUAAAACUCAAAUGAAUUGACGG